CAGAGGUCCCGAGCGGUUGUUCGGAUUCACGUGGGCGUAAAGGGGUGCGUAGGUGGUGAGGUAAGUCGGAUGUGAAAUCUCCAGGCUCAACCUGGAAACGGCAUUGGAAACUACCUUGCUUGAGGGUUUGAGGGGGGACUGGAAUUCUCGGUGUAGCAGUGAAAUGCGUAGAUAUCGAGAGGAACACCGGUGGCGAAGGCGAGUCCCUGGAAAACACCUGACACUGAGGCACGAAAGCUAGGGGAGCAAACAGGAUUAGAUACCCUGGUAGUCCUAGCCCUAAACGGUGCUUGCUUGCUGUAAGAGGAAUCGACCCCUCUUGUGGCGGAGCUAACGCGUUAAGCAAGCCGCCUGGGAAGUACGGUCGCAAGAUUA
rnacentral:rRNA from 1 species